rnacentral:tRNA from 1 species
UCCUGGCUGGCUCAGACAGUAAAGAACCUGCCUGCAACAUAGGAGACCUGGGUUUGAUCCCCGGGUCAGGAA